AACCGGGGGAACUGAAACAUCUAAGUACCCGAAGGAAAGGACAUCAACCGAGACUCCGUCAGUAGCGGCGAGCGAACGCGGACCAGCCGAGCCUGAUGAGUGACCAGAACCAGUUGGGAAACUGGGCCAGAGCGGGUGACAGCCCCGUAUGGGAAGCUCUGAGGGACGUAUUAAGUAGGGCGGGACACGUGAAAUCCUGUUCGAAGAUCGGAGGACCACCUCCGAAGGCUAAGUACUCCUUACUGACCGAUAGCGAACCAGUACCGUGAGGGAAAGGUGAAAAGCACCCCGGCGAGGGGAGUGAAACAGUACCUGAAACCGAACGCCUGC
rnacentral:rRNA from 1 species